rnacentral:lncRNA from 1 species
AAUUUAAACACUCUUCUACUGUCACACCUCGAGUAAACCCUUCCGGAGACCCGAGAAACUAUACGGAGAGACACAGCCAAGCCAAAGCACACCUGCAUACGUGUGUUUAAAGAGAUGCUGAACAGAGCUCUGAGUUCAAGGGGAAGAAGGCAAGGUUGGUUUGGGGAACGGCAGCGCGCCUGGCAGGAGAUGGUUUCCUCAGUGUGUGGCAAGUGUUUCUUCAAGAAAUUCAUCAGCCCUUCUACAAUUACUUGGAGCUCUGAGGGAAGAGAGCUGCCAUCACUUUCUCACAUCCCAAGGUGUUGCAUGGAGGAGGGAAGAAAAGGCUGGAGCAUUUAAUUACAAUGGGAGGCGGGGGAGAAUGGGGGAGCGGAGGCUGCAGAAAGCCGCCCCAAGCCUGUACCUGGAAAAGAAAACCCGCCCGGGUGUAUGUGGGAGACGCGUGCCGUGUAGGGCUGGGGAAAAGUACCCCAUCUCGUGCGAUAAUUAGUCUGAACAAUAAACAUAAUUGGAAUAAAAUCAGUUGGAAAUUCCUGCGUUUUUAAUUACGUUUCAUUUUGUGGUAAGCCGUAAAAUUAUGAAUACCUCUCAAUUAAACACUAUCCACUUGUAAAGCAUUUAACAACAAUUAUUCCUUAAUCAGUCGGAAUGUUAGCCACAAACGAUGCUGUUAAACAUCAAAGGGACGCCUUAGACGUUACCUUUUAGUCAUAAGUAAGAGGAUUAAUUUCUGUAAUUAGAGGGGAUAAAUAUGUGCAUAAAUACAUCUAAUUUUUUUACACGUUCUCAUCCUGUCUGGGAGAGGCGAGGAUCUUUGACAUCGCCAGCACUUCCAGCUCUUCCCCCGGCUCCGAGGAGGCGCCCGGCCGCGGCGAGGUGCCAGCACCCCCGCAGGGAGGCCCGAUGCUGCGCGGGGCUCCGUGCCCCUCCGCGCCCGCUGGGGCCACCACCAAGGCGGGGGCUCAGCCUCGGGCCCACCGCGGCCACAGCAGGACUUCGGGGCAAUUUGCAGCCCUCCUCGGGUUUCAACAAAGCAGCCGGCCCUUCUCCGGGGUGGUUUCACGUCCGAAGAGUUUGCGGCGGGGGCCCCGGGGCCGCGCAAGGCAAUCUCCGCCGGCUCCGCGCAGGGCUGGCUGCAGGCGGAGCCGGGCCGCACCAGGAAGAUGCGCCCCGGCACAAAGGCACACGCCCGGGUUGCCGCAGGGGCAUCCUUGAGUGGUGCUGGUUCUGGACAUGCGGUUUCACAUGUUUUUCCAAUCGUUCGAACCCAAAUAUGUGCACCCCUCACCCUCCACCCCUACCCUCCCCCGCCUUCUCCUUCCUAGGAAUGUGCAUAAUAAAAGCCAACAGUCCGGGACUCUCCCCCCUUGCUGCAUGUGCCGGACAGCGAGCCGUGGAGGGACGUGGUCCCCCCAGCUGGGAAGCCAAAGGCAGGCUGCCAGACCUCCUCCCAGGACUUCCGAGGGCAGCUGGAUGUCUCCGGCCCCGUCGGCACAGGGGGAACCUGGCUUCAGCCUUAGCAUCAGCUCAACCGUCCCGCUGGCGUCGGACGCCUCCCUCGCCGCCACUAGACCCCCCGAAUGCCUCUCGCAGCCGUCGCCAAACUGGAGGUCGGGAAAGUCGUCCCAGGAGCGGAGCCCCCAACCGCGACUCGAGCGAAGAAGCGAACGUGUGA